GUCACCAUUGGAGAUGCUCUUACACAAUGCAUUCUCUCUCCCUUUCAUUUUAUUUCAAAUUUAUUCAGAAAAAUCAGAGCAUCUCUCACCACUUGCUCUCUCCAUUUUGUGCUCCUCUCUCUCUCUCCCUCUCUAGAAAGAGAGCUUUCAUUGAAGCUCUCAAGCCAAAACUCUACCAUUUCUAGGCAAGUGCUUGCAUAUUCGGAUUUUCUUUUCUUUCUCAUCUAUGCUAGGCCAAGCCUUGGCUCUUGGUCCCUUCCUCCCUCUGAGUUUAUACUCACUUAAUUACCUCUAUUUCAAGCUCUUGAGGAUGAGGAAAUUCAUGCAAGCUUAGAGUGGUGCAUGCAAAAUGCUUGAAGAUCAAAGAGAAAUUAACGACAAACAGGGGAAUGGGUUGACCAACAGAAUAAGGAGACUUGGAAUAUUAAAAGACUUUGAGCCGAGGACACUUGGGCAUCCUUUAUUUUGUUUUAUUAAGGUUCAAUUUUUCCAGAACUCUCAACCAGUUUGGUUAAUUGGUAUGUUUUCCUUGUUCCAAUGAUUACGAUCAUUGGUUUAUUUCUUCUCUGGCUCGUUAGUUAUUUACAUGCUUGUAAAGUUGAUUUACUAAGUGUUAUCACUUACCUAGUUGUUUUAUGUUGUGAGUAAGUGGAAAGACAGGACAGAGCAAUGAGAGUUAGAGUCUGCUUUACCAAAGUAUACUUAUGGCCUGAACGUGGGAAGUAAGAGACUUUUGAAUUGUUUUGUUAAAUCUUUACGAAUUAAUGGCUUACUCUGAACUUUUAUUUUGUUAUGCUGGUUUUAAUAUUUUAAGUAUACACACACUUCUAUAAGUUAUAUAUAUACAUAUAUGGAUUUCUAA